rnacentral:rRNA from 1 species
UACGUAGGGGGCAAGCGUUGUCCGGAAUCAUUGGGCGUAAAGAGCGUGUAGGCGGCCCGAUAAGUCCGCUGUGAAAGUCCAGGGCUCAACCCUGGAAUGCCGGUGGAUACUGUCGGGCUAGAGUCCGGAAGAGGCGAGUGGAAUUCCUGGUGUAGCGGUGAAAUGCGCAGAUAUCAGGAGGAACACCGAUGGCGAGGGCAGCUCGCUGGGACGGUACUGACGCUGAGGCGCGAAAGCGUGGGGAGCAAACAGG